AGCCGUGGAAAGGAAUGGGACCAAAGCAAGACUGAGAGCCAACAAGACGCAAGACGGACGUUAAGUUGCGCCGUUCCAUGCCCCGCACGUGAGGAGGCUGUGGGACGCCGCCCGGCCUCCCAGGCCCUCUUCUGAAUUCUGGGUGGAGCCUUCCUGACCCCACAAGCAUUCUGCGUGGGUCUAAAACCAGCACCAGGUGGAUGACGCCAGGACCUGCUGCUGGCUCCCGCAGAAGCCAGGCCUGUUUGCAUCAGGGCUACAACAGCCUCCGAGUGCCUGGAUGCCUGAACACUGGGAACAAAGUCCCAGCGAGCCAGGCCCCUAGGCUCUUCUGCAGCAGUGUUCCCGAGGCUCCUUCUCAAAGCAAAGUCUCGCUUCUCCACCCAGGGCCUGCAACAGUUUUACAGGACCCAACUUGACCAGACUCUUGCCUCAAACAGCGUCCAGCAUUCUGGGGCUGCUUCUCCACC